AACACCUCAUCCAAAUGACACCGAAUUCACACCAGGUGUUCAUCUCCCCCCCCUACAUCACAAAUCCAUGCUUAUUUCACUUUAAAUGUCCCCAAAUUGUUCGAAUUUUGAAUCGAACUUUGACUUCAAAAAUCCUAGUUCAUCGAUUUGGUCCCAAAUUAAUGCCCUAUGGUUAUAUUGCCUUCCCCAUACGGAAUCAGGUGUCAGCAUUUUCAAAUGUCAUCAAAAUGGUUCAAGCGUCAAAUUGUUAGGCAUCAGAGUCGUAGUAGUAAGUUUCGAAUCAAUUCGAUUUUUGUUUCUUUUCUGUUCUCUCAUGCUUUUGUGAAUUAGGUUUGUAUUUGUGCUCCAUGAGUAAUUACUAAUAUAAGUUUUUAUAUUUCGUCAUCAGUCUCACUCAAGUGUUUAGGGUCUAGUUUUGAUUUUUUAAUCUUAUUUAUAUCUGGUUUUGUAAUGGUUAAUUCCUAGGUUAAUUUCAUCAUUUUUGCCAAGUUCUUUUCAGUUUUGGAUUUUCUGCCAUUCCUGUCUAAUUUUUUCUUUUGGGUUCUGAUUAUGUGUUAGGUCCUAACUAUGCGUCGUUGAUUUGCUUUUAGUCAUCGUGUUAAUUCUUGUUCAAUAAUGUCUUUAAUUGACAUCGUUUGGAUUUUGUUAGUUUAUUAUUAAUUGAUUUUAAUGGGUUCAAUCUAGUUAGUUUAGGUUAGUCAUUAGCUGAUAUUACUUUAAUUCCUUGCAUAAUUUAAUUAGUUGUUAAGAAUUUGAGAUUGGUUAUAGUUGAAUAAUGGGGAUUUAGUUAACUAUGGGGUUGGGUGAGUAACAGUUAUUUGGUAAUUUCAGGAUAAGCUAAGGGCAAGGUAGUUUAAAAGCAAGGGAACCUUUAAAUAACUAAAUUGGAAGCUACUAGAACUUUCUAGAUAAGUUUCAAAUCAGAUAUUUAGUAACUUAGUGGUGUAACUUGGGUAUCAAGUUAGGGAAUAAAAGGUUAAGUAGGCAAAAAAACUGAAAAUAGCAUAGGGACUAAUAUGUAAAAAAAACUAAAAUAUGAGGUUGCACCUUAUUUUGCCUAUGAAAAGGCAUCACCAACCCCUUAACUCAUAAGUUUUGAGCCCCAAUAUUUCCCCGAAAACAUUUCCUCAAUCUUUGCAGAUCUAAAUUUUAAAUUCAGAUCAAAACUUCUUAGAUUUUAGUUUCCUUCAUAUAGAAAACAAAAAAAAACAAUAGAAAACUUUCAAAAUCCAAAAAAACUAUUACUCCAUUAAGCAUUAGGUGAAUUUCAACUUUUAUCUGUAGAUUCACACUUUUCUAGUUCAAAUUUUGGUUGUCGUGGUUUAGAGAUCUACUGUAUCCAUUUCGAGUGAUUUUUGGGUUCAUUUGAAUCAAUUCGGGCCAGUCAGUUGGUAUAGUAUUUGUAUAGUGUGUUCUUUAGUGUUUGGUGAAGCUGUUUCGAUUUAAAAUUACUCCAGUUCACUGGUUUUGAUUGCUAUUUAUCAUCUACUAUUACUGAGUUUUUGUUGGAGUUUCCUGGGAUUAUUGUGAAGUUUCUUUUGGUUCAGAUUAAUCCUAUUUGGUUGAUUGUUACUGUGUGAUUGCUGGUGCUGUUUUGGUAAGCAAUUCAUAAGUCUAGUUGUUGCUACCUACUUAUGACUCUCAUUCUUCUCAUUCAAUUUUAAAUCCAGGUAAUGCUUCGAAUUCCCGCUGAUGUAACUUCAAAACUGGAGUGAAAUGAAAUAUAAUUCCAAAUCUGAGCUUAUUUGAAUACUUGUAGUUACAGUCAGUUAAUUGAUAUAGCUAUUUAGUUUUAAUUUGUUUGCUAUUGUAUUAAACUUGGACUGUUUAACUAGGAUUAUUUUUGCUGCUUAAAUUCGUAAUGGGCUCCUAUGUACUGUUAAUCCAGUUCAGCUUACUCCUACGAGUAUGAGUACUCUGUAGUUAGCUAUUUUAAUUUGGUUUAAUUGGUGUUACUAGUAUAGUAGUUUCAUUUUUCAGUAAUGUUAAAAAGGACACUACUGUUAAAGUCGAGUUUCUAAUUCCAAUUUGGUCGUCACCUUAAAUAAGAUUUGGGAGUUCAUUAGUAAAAAAAUACGCGAGAUAAAUAAAUAGAUGUAGAAAGUGAAUUUUAUAAUCUGAAAUUAAAUUACAACACAAUUUCACAAAACCGAGAAGUUAACACUGGAGAUUGAUUAGGCCGCUUGAAUUUACAUUUAAGCGUGAUUUCACGUUUUCGCCCAGGCUCGACCCUUUAUCCGUGUUCUCAAGCUGCUAACAUGUCACUUGGGCCAGAUUUUCCCAAUAGCAUGCCCAAAGUGUUGGAUUCUUUAUGUCUUUAACCAAAUGCUAAGCAUGCUUCAUUUAUUUACAUCAUAAACUACUGGGCCUAAAUUAUUUGAGAAUGAAUCAUGAGGGUCUGGCCUUUUAUCAAUGCAAAUUAAUUAGGACUUUUCUCUUUAUUAUUAGAGACAAAAAAAAUAGAAAAUCGUAAUCACUUUUGGAUUGGCCUUUAAAUAAAGUUGAUGAGACGA
rnacentral:lncRNA from 1 species